GCAAGUCGAGCGGCAGCGACUUAACUGAACCUUUGGGGAACGUUAAGGGCGGCGAGCGGCGGACGGGUGAGUAAUGCCUGGGAAUAUGCCCUGAUGUGGGGGAUAACUAUUGGAAACGAUAGCUAAUACCGCAUAAUCUCUUCGGAGCAAAGAGGGGGACCUUCGGGCCUCUCGCGUCAGGAUUAGCCCAGGUGGGAUUAGCUUGUUGGUGAGGUAAUGGCUCACCAAGGCAACGAUCCCUAGCUGGUCUGAGAGGAUGAUCAGCCACACUGGAACUGAGACACGGUCCAGACUCCUACGGGAGGCAGCAGUGGGGAAUAUUGCACAAUGGGGGAAACCCUGAUGCAGCCAUGCCGCGUGUGUGAAGAAGGCCUUCGGGUUGUAAAGCACUUUCAGUAGGGAGGAAGGUAGUGUAGUUAACACCUGCAUUAUUUGACGUUACCUACAGAAGAAGCACCGGCUAACUCCGUGCCAGCAGCCGCGGUAAUACGGAGGGUGCGAGCGUUAAUCGGAAUUACUGGGCGUAAAGCGCAUGCAGGCGGCCUGUUAAGUCAGAUGUGAAAGCCCGGGGCUUAACCUCGGAAUUGCAUUUGAAACUGGCAGGCUAGAGUCCUGUAGAGGGGGGUAGAAUUUCAGGUGUAGCGGUGAAAUGCGUAGAGAUCUGAAGGAAUACCAGUGGCGAGGGCGGCCCCCUGG
rnacentral:rRNA from 1 species